rnacentral:rRNA from 1 species
CCCCUAGCCAGCGGCGAGCGAAGCGGGAAGAGCUCAAAUUUAUAAUCUGGCACCUUCGGUGUCCGAGUUGUAAUCUCUAGAAGUGUUUUCCGCGUUGGACCGCACACAAGUCUGUUGGAAUACAGCGGCAUAGUGGUGAGACCCCCGUAUAUGGUGCGGACGCCCAACGCUUUGUGAUACACUUUCGAAGAGUCGAGUUGUUUGGGAAUGCAGCUCAAAUUGGGUGGUAAAUUCCAUCUAAAGCUAAAUAUUGGCGAGAGACCGAUAGCGAACAAGUACCGUGAGGGAAAGAUGAAAAGCACUUUGGAAAGAGAGUUAACAGUACGUGAAAUUGUUGGAAGGGAAACGCUUGAAGUCAGACUUGCUUGCCGAGCAAUCGGUUUGCAGGCCAGCAUCAGUUUUCCGGGGUGGAUAAUGGUAGAGAGAAGGUAGCAGUUUCGGCUGUGUUAUAGCUCUUUGCUGGAUACACCUUGGGGGACUGAGGAACGCAGUGUGCCUUACGGCGGAUUUCUCGAGAUCUUCACACUUAGGAUGCUGGUGGAAUGGCUUUAAACGACCCG